CUUCUCCUUUUGUUAUGUAUCGCUUCGAUGGUUUCCUCUUCGCCAAGGCCCCACUUCGGAGAGGUCAACCCUGAUGAUCGAAAGGACUUUUUGGAUUUUCUCCAAGAAAUCAACGACGAAGAGAUGAAUAACGAUGAGAAUUCGUUUUCUUCAAGUGGAAUCUCAUCUUUGGAUCCGUUUUUAGACGAAUUUGUGUUGAUGAAGCGGAUUUCGAACGUUAAUCAGCGGGAAAUUCAACGCAGAAACGCGCUCAAGAAAAAAUUAAGGAUUAAGAACGAAAGGAGGGAAUUUAUUCCGUGCUUUUUUAAUGCUGUGUCGUGUUUCGGAUAUUUUUAAAUUAAUAAAAUGUUUAUCAAUUUAGA